rnacentral:lncRNA from 1 species
AAGCCAGAACCAGAAAGGAGAAUCGAACUCGGGACCUGAGUCAGCGGGAAGUCGCAAAACUGCGCUUCCUAACUUUCUUUUAUCAGUGAAGCUCAAAUAUGUCAAGCUAGGGUACCACUACUUAAUCUCCAACGUCAUCUACCUCCUACUAGUCCCUCUCAUCGCCGCGGCCUCCGCCCACCUCUCCACGCUCACCGCCAAUGACUUCCUCCACUUGUGGCAACAGCUCAAGUUCAACUUCGUCUCGGUCACCUUGUGCUCGGGCCUCAUGGUUUUCCUAACCACCGUAUACUUCACCACCCGCCCUAGAAAAGUAUACUUGGUGAACUUCGCAUGCUACAAGCCCGAGCCGGCCCGCACGUGCACACGUGAGAUAUUCAUGGAGAGGUCGAAGCUGACGGGCAGCUUCUCUGACGAGAACUUGGCCUUUCAGCAAAAGAUUCUCGAGAGGUCCGGCCUCGGGCAAAACAC